rnacentral:rRNA from 1 species
UCAGAACGAACGCUGGCGGCAGGCCUAACACAUGCAAGUCGAGCGCACCCUCGGGUGAGCGGCGGACGGGUGAGUAUCGCGUGGGAACGUGCCCUUCUCUACGGAAUAGUCCCGGGAAACUGGGGGUAAUACCGUAUACGCCCUUUGGGGGAAAGAUUUAUCGGAGAAGGAUCGGCCCGCGUUGGAUUAGGUAGUUGGUGGGGUAAUGGCUCACCAAGCCGACGAUCCAUAGCUGGUUUGAGAGGAUGAUCAGCCACACUGGGACUGAGACACGGCCCAGACUCCUACGGGAGGCAGCAGAAGGG